rnacentral:rRNA from 1 species
CGCGAAGGCAAGCGGAUCUCUUAAAGCUGUUCUCAGUUCGGACUGCAGUCUGCAACCCGACUGCACGAAGCUGGAAUCGCUAGUAAUCGCGGAUCAGCACGCCGCGGUGAAUACGUUCCCGGGCCUUGUACACACCGCCCGUCACACCAUGGAAGUCUGCAAUGCCCGAAGCCGGUGGCCUAACCACUUAUGUGGAAGGAGCCGUCUAAGGCAGGGCAGAUGACUGGGGUGAAGUCGUAACAAGGUACC